rnacentral:lncRNA from 1 species
CUAACAGGGUCUUAUAUCUUCUUGCUUGAAUUCCAAAUAACAUAGUACUGCUCUUUAUAGAGAGCCAACUAAACAACUCGAUUCUAAUUUCAUGGAAUGGAAACAACCAAAACAACUGGUAGAUAGAUAGAUAGAUAGAUAAGCCGAUAAUUUCACCCACUCUGUUGCAUCGCCUAUUGUUCGUGUGCUCCCUUGUUGGGCUUACGAUGAUAGAUUGCAGGUGAUACUGAACGACCAUAAUUACAUGAUGAGUAAGACACCUGCAACAAGAAGUUAGUUUUUAUUAAAUCUACCAUUGAAUAUAUUUUUAUUGUAUUUUACUUUGCUUUGAAAAUGUUGUUAUUUGAUCAAACUUGAAUAAGUUUGAUUUAGGAAAAACCCUUCAUCGAUUUGUAGUGUGAAAAGGAGUACAAGGUAAAAAAAAGUCUCAAUUGAAUGAUUAUUUGUGUUGUACAGAUAAAGAAAACCAGGCAAAUAUCUAACCAUGCAAAUAUGCAGAAAUUUGGCUAGUUGGAAAUUAACUUGGAGUGACCCACGCAUAUAAGCAUUAUUUAGAGAUGCACUUGAUACUGCAGUGGUAAGAGGUGUGUGGUUUCAACCCUGAGAUCACGUGUUCAAUCCCUAACAUGCUCGUAAUUUGUUCAAAAAAAAACUUUGGAAGGAUGUUUCUCCCUCCAAAUCUUGUUUUUAUUAAUAUAAGCAUUAUUUACAAUGAGAUGUCAAAUUACGUAACAUAGUUGACACUUGACUGCAAUGGCAUAAAAGAAAUCAUCUCAAUAUAACAAUUCUCUUACGUAACGAUAUAGGGGGAGGGGAAAAAAGGAAUGUAUAACUAGGAGUAAGAAGUUGAUUGCACGCUGAUAUGCUAAAGUUCAUAAAGAGUUUUUUGGGUUUUUUUUAAGAUAAUGAAUAACCUGGCAGCUGCAUCAAAGACGUACAUAGGCUAUCAUGCAUUACUGUACGCCAAGCAAAGAUAGAAAAAAAUAACGUUCAUAAAGAUACAUCAUAUUAAACGUUGAGUGGGAGGCUUGGUGGACCUAGCAUUAUAUAAUGGCUAGUACAUGAAAAAAAAGGUUGUUGAUUAGGGGAAGAAAUCAGCUAAGUACCUGAGUUAGUUCAUCACCAUCGUAUUUCGAGCGCUGCUUGAUUAGGAUAGUCCUUAAGUGCCUCUCUAACAACAGCCUUGCUGCUUGAAUAAAUGGUUGCAUGCCGAAGGGAGUGGAGAUUCUCCAAACCUAAAUCAUUUAAGCCACCCCUCCUUAGGCUGGUCCAAAUACGAAGAUAAAGCCUUUCAAGGUGGGGCAUAGCUCCUGGUUGAAACGAUGGCAUCAUGGGGCUAUAAAAGUGAAAAUCUUUUAAACUCCGAAAUACACAUGCACCUCUGUGGAUAGUGAGCUUUUCCUAUAGUUGUUCCGAAACAAAUGCUAACUGUAGCCUGAGAAAGCGAAGAGAUGGAAGCUCAGCGAGGCGAUCAAGGUGGUCAGACUGGAGAUAUUCAAAACACAGCCAAAUGGAUAAGGUGGUGAGGCGGGAGAGCAUCGACGAAUUGAUCCAACAUGGGAAUGCUUUCAUAUACGAAUGGUGCAUGAACAACCUUUGGAGACCAGAAGGAACCUGUUGCAUGUCUAUGAUUUCUUCAAAACUAUUAUUAUUUCUCAAAUCUAGGUCUUGCAAAUUGGUGAACCUUUGUAUAGACGUUUGAAUGGAUUCCUUUAACUCAAAUGUUUUUUCACUACUGAAAACGAUCCUAAGAGUCCUUAGCUCCGUCAAAUUGCCAAUCUCUUUUAUUACCUUUCGGGUAGCUUCUAUUACAAGCUCCUGUAAAGAUUUCAUAUCCCCCAGCAUCAGACCUUGUGCCAGCUUCACUCUGCCAGCAUAUAGCCGCAACAGUUUCCUUAGUUUGGCAAAAGACAUUGGAAACAGUACCUUAUGAGAUUUAAAAGAACUUGGUUUACGUGCACCUCUUAUGUCCAAGGUUUCGAGAGAUUCCAGUUUCCCAAUGCUUUCAGGGAGCUCAGUGGCACCAUAGUGCCCUAGACGCAGAAAUCUUAGGAGGAGUAGCUUAUCGAGAUGAUUAAGAUGGUUCUUGUCCAUUCCACUGCAGUCCUCAAGCUGCAACACACGCAGGACAUGAAAGCUCGACAAGGGUGGUAUCGAGUCGACCUUGCCGAAGAUAGUAAUCGACCUUACUUUGGACAAUUGUUCUCUUGCUUCUGGCGAGGCAUAGGACUUAUUGCUGUUAUGGAGAGAUAAUCGGCGAAUCUUCUUCUUUUGUGCUGUACAUGUAUGUUUACCUGUUUGUUGACCAUCAGAUAAAUACGUUGUAACAAAAUCUUCUUCUACUGACAGCUGAUUUAUUAGCUCAAGCACCAUGUCAUGUACUUUGCAUGCAUGCACCUUACCAUCUUCAUCCCAAAGAGUGUUCUCACUCAUUGGCUGGAUCAAGCUUCGAUUGAUGAGCUCGUUGAAGUAGCUCUCGCCAAUCUCCUGCAAGCUUGUCCCUGCAGGUCGUGUUUCAUCUGUAAUAAAACCCUCUGCUAACCAACUCCAUAUCAAAACAUAUUUUCUAAUUAGCUCAUCCUCAGUAUAUUUGCUUAGAGACAACAAGCAAGUCUUCAAAUGAAAAGGUAGAUCGCUGUAACUGAGGCUUAAUAUCUUCCGCAUGUUGUCCACAUCAAGGUUGUUCUCAAGCCCCAAACUGAUAGACUUAUUGACCUUGUCCCAUUCCUCUGAAUUCCUUGGUUUGCUAGCAAGUAGGCAUGCUGUAGUGAUGAUUGCUAGCGGUACACCACCACAUUUCUUCAAAAUUUUCUCAGUGACACCACACAAAUCAGCAGGACAGUCAUCGUUAGAGUCAAAUAUUCGUUUGCAGAACAAUUGUCUGGAAUCAUCAUCAGAUAAGGGUUUCAUUUCAUAAACACCACCGCCUGCAUGUUCUGCAAUGACCUUGUUUCGCGUGGUUACAAUUAUUUUGCUACCAAGUUUAGCAUCUUGCACAGCAAGUUUGAUAGUAUCCCACGCUGAUUUUUUCCAUACAUCAUCAAUCACGCACAAGAACCUAAAGAUGGUAGCAUAUACACAUGUUAUUGAACCUAGAUAUAAAUCAUGUGAAGCCUGUCCAAAAAAGAUAGGAAUAUGUAUCUUGCACAUUGAAUGUCGAAAAUGAUGUGCAGCUUUAAAUGUGUAAUUUUCCAACAAUUUUGACACAAUAAGUGCAGCUUUGUGAAUUUCUAUUCACAAAGUUACAAAGAUACUUAAUUAUGCGUAAAUAGGGCAGAUUUCUGAAUAACUAUGUGUUCCAUUGGAAAACCAAAACUUUAUUUACAAGCCAGUUAUAUUAUAAUAGUAUAAAAACUUGAGCUAGGAUUCCCGGUUAUAUUAGAAUACAAUAAAAACUUGAGCCAGGACUCUUAUUUGUACAACAAAAGGUAUCUUCAAAUAAUGAUAAAAGGUAGGUAUAACAUAGAAAUGUACCUUCUAUUGUUGAGGAAGUCUCUAAUUUUGUCGAUGAGCUGCUUCGUUUCCCAUGUUUCAUCUAUGUGGGAAUACAUUUUCUCAUCAAGUUGGAGAAGAAUGUUCUUGAGAAUCUUGUUUAUAUCAGGAUUCAAGGACACCGAAACAAAACAAUAGCUGUCAAAUUUUGCCUUAAGCUCCUGAAAUAAUGAAUUGGCAAGAGUUGUCUUUCCUAAGCCUCCGAAUCCAACAAUAGAAAUUAUAUUUGAUUGUUGGCUGGAUGAGCCGUCAUAUUCCAAGAGUUGCUUAGUUAGCUCAUUUUUUGGCUUGCUAAUGCCAAUGAGUUUUGUUGCCUUUCGGUACAUAGCUUCUAGGCGAGAAUCAACAUCCACAACAGUUGGCCUGGCAGCGAUGUCAUCGACUCUGCACCUGUCACGACGCUCGCUGACCUUCUUGACCUGGUCCAUGAUGUCUUUGAUGACACCGUGGAUCUGAUGGUUAGUUUUGAACUUGUUGAACAAAUUGGUGACCUUCUUGAAGCUCGUGGCAGGUUCAUGCCCCUUGCACUUUAACAUGAAGGUGUCGAUGGCAUCCUCGAUGUCGUAAGAUAGCUCUCUCACCUCGCUGGCCCAGAUCUUGACCUGCUGGUCAAGUUGAUCCACAGGUGUCUCAGCCACCUUGUGGAGUGCUGCGGUCAUACCUUUCAACUCUUUCUCAAGUUCUUCGAUCUCUCCCUUGACACCCUUUUGCAGCUUGUAUUCGCCAACCAGCAGCUCCCCAAGCUUGGGGAGGAGGGUGUUCAUUGCCCCAGUGGCGAUGUUCAUCUUGGCCUAUCUGAUGUUGAAUGCCUGCACGGGUAUACACAGAUGCACUUAAAUGAGCCUCUUGAGUUUAUCAGUAUGUAUCAGGAUUCAGGAAUGAUCAAGCAACCGCAAAAACAUGGAGAAAAACGACAUCUGAAUAAUUAAGCUGCUAUGUAGCAUGUCAAAUCGAGACUAGAUUGAGGUAACAACCGUGUGCUGCAUCACCUAAUCGAUCCAAGCAAAGCUCAUCACCGUGAGCAGCGCAAGAUAGCGACCUCUCAACGCUAUACGGUAUACUAGUAACAGGAAGGACCAAGCAACGACGCCCAAACACACAUGGAGAAAAUCAGCAUCUGGAUCAACGGGGCGUACCGGAAUUGGAGGGUCGGGACAGUGGAUGCGGUCGUCGUCGCCGCUGGCUCCGCUCCGAUCCGCCCCUUGGCCGCGCCGCCCCCGAUCGAUCGAUGCCGUGGUGGAGUCCGGUCUUAUCGAAGCGGCUGGCGGCGAGUAGAGGAGCUCGCUCGGGUCAACGGGUGGGAGACGGAGUGCUCCAGCGCAUGGUAGUGGAGGAAAUGAUAAAACUAGCUGUGCGCCUGUGCCCCCGCGCAUCGCGGAUCAUGCCUAUAGAUCCUUAAUCAUAAAAGAAAAAAAAUAAAAAAAAUAAAAAUUAACAUGAUUGUAAACAACAUCAGUGGCGGAUCAAAGAAAAUCGGUUCGUUGGUGUCAUAACGUGUCUAGCUAUCGGUAUCGGUGUCAUAGUAUACUAAUUAUGCUUAGAUUAUGGUGUUAUAAUGUAUGGAUAAGCAGUUUUACUAUAGGUUGGUUUUGCCAAAAGUCGUCAGUGUCGCCUGACACCGACGCAUAUACUAUAGAUCCGCCCCUAAACAACAUAGCUUGCAACAACGCUAUAGAAUAAUAACUCGAUCAGAAAGAGAAUAUCACAUAGAAGGGCAUGCAGCCCAGUGGUUGUAGUGACACCCUAAGGUCCUGAGUUAAGUCUUCAUAGGAGCGAAUUUUAGAUUGGAUUAUUUGAGGGCUAAGUUUCUAAUUUAAAAUUGGAUUAUUUGAUGGCUAAGUUCCUAAUUUAAAACGGCUACAUAUACCCCGGUUGGAUGUUGAGGCCGCCAGUUGGAUCUAAUUUAAAAUUGGAUUAUUUGAGGGCUAUGUUCCUAUGUUGAGGCCGGGUAAAAAAUAUCCUUCUCCCGGGUAAAAAAAUAUCCUUCUCCCUUUGAGGGCUAAGUUCCUAUGUUGAGACCGGGUAAAAAAUAUCCUUAAAAUAUCCCAGUUGGAUGUUGAGGCCGGGUAAAAAAUAUCCUUCUUCCGGGUAAAAUCCCGAAAAAGGGUAUCCUUCUCCCGAGUAAAAAAUACCAUUCUCCUGAAAAAAAAAUCCUUCUCCCGAGUAAAAAAUAUCAUUCUCCCGAUUGGAUGUUGAGGCCGGAUAAAAAAUAUCCUUCUCUAAAAAAACGAUGUUCAAUUAUAUCCUUCUCUAGAAAAACCUAGUAUGGUAAAUAUCCUUCUCUAAAAAAAACUUUGAGUGACUAGUAUACUUUUGUGGAGCACAUGGUGCUAGUACUAGUAUGGCAAAUAUCCUUCUCUAAAAAAACUUUGAGUGACUAGUAUACUUUCGUGGAGCACAUGGUGCUGGUGCUAGUAUGGCAAAUAUCCUUCUCUACAAAUUGAGUGACUAGUAUACUUUUGUGGAGCACAUCAUGCUAGUGCUAGUAUGGUAAAUAUCCUUCUCUAGAAAAAAAUGAAUUAAAGUAAAGGAUAAACAACGUAAAAUCUACUAAAAGUACCAAAAAAAUGGAAUUUCAUCAACAUCUGAAUUUUUGUAUAUAUAUUAUUUAUUUUAUUGUUUUGUAUCUAGCAAAAUUGUAGGGUAGAACGACAUAAUAGAUCCUGGCUUCUCCAUUUAAUUCGGAGAAAAGGAGGUAUUUUUGUUCAUGGAACAUUGAUAGAGAAAAAAGCCGACUAUCGGAUUUGAACCGAUGACCCUCGCAUUACAAAUGCGAUGCUCUAACCUCUGAGCUAAGUGGGCUUACAUAACAGAAAUAGUGUAACAAAUAGAAAUAUGUAUAGUAUAGGAAAUCCGUAAAUCUAAAAAAAACUUUGAGUGACUAGUAUACUUUUGUGGAGCACAUGGUGCUAGUGCUAGUAUGGCAAAUAUCCUUCUCUAAAAAUUGAGUGACUAGUAUACUUUUGUGGAGCACAUCAUGCUAGUGCUAGUAUGGUAAAUAUCCUUCUCUAGAAAAAAUGAAUUAAAGUAAAGGAUAAACAGCGUAAAAUCUACUAAAAAUACCACAAAAAAUGGAAUUUCAUCAACAUCUGAAUUUUUGUAUAUAUAUUAUUUAUUUUAUUGUUUUGUAUCUAGCAAAAUUGUAGGGUAGAACGACAUAAUAGAUCAUGGCUUCUCCAUUUAAUUCGGAGAAAAGGAGGUAUUUUUGUUCAUGGAACAUUGAUAGAGAAAAAAGCCGACUAUCGGAUUUGAACCGAUGACCCUCGCAUUACAAAUGUGAUGCUCUAACCUCUGAGCUAAGUGGGCUUACAUAACAGAAAUAGUGUAACAAAUAGAAAUAUGUAUAGUAUAGGAAAUCCGUAAAUCUAAAAAAAACUUUGAGUGACUAGUAUACUUUUGUGGAGCACAUGGUGCUAGUGCUAGUAUGGCAAAUAUCCUUCUCUAAAAAUUGAGUGACUAGUAUACUUUUGUGGAGCACAUCAUGCUAGUGCUAGUAUGGUAAAUAUCCUUCUCUAGAAAAAAUGAAUUAAAGUAAAGGAUAAACAGCGUAAAAUCUACUAAAAGUACCACAAAAAAUGGAAUUUCAUCAACAUCUGAAUUUUUGUAUAUAUAUUAUUUAUUUUAUUGUUUUGUAUCUAGCAAAAUUGUAGGGUAGAACGACAUAAUAGAUCCUGGCUUCUCCAUUUAAUUCGGAGAAAAGGAGGUAUUUUUGUUCAUGGAACAUUGAUAGAGAAAAAAGCCGACUAUCGGAUUUGAACCGAUGACCCUCGCAUUACAAAUGCGAUGCUCUAACCUCUGAGCUAAGUGGGCUUACAUAACAGAAAUAGUGUAACAAAUAGAAAUAUGUAUAGUAUAGGAAAUCCGUAAAUCUAAAAAAAACUUUGAGUGACUAGUAUACUUUUGUGGAGCACAUGGUGCUAGUGCUAGUAUGGCAAAUAUCCUUCUCUAAAAAAACUUUGAGUGACUAAUAUACUUUCGUGGAGCACAUGGUGCUAGUGCUAGUAUGGCAAAUAUCCUUCUCUAAAAAUUUAGUGACUAGUAUACUUUUGUGGAGCACAUCAUGCUAGUGCUAGUAUGGUGAGUAUUCUUCUCUAGAAAAAAAGAUGUUCUCGAUUUUGAGUGACUAGUAUACUUUUGUGGAGCACAUGGGGCUAGUGCUAGUAUGGUAGUACUGUAAAGACAACGGUAGUUGUUCAAUUAAUUGAGUGACUAGUAUACUUUUGUGGAGUACAUGGUGCUCGUGCCAGUAUGGUAGUAUUAGAGCAGGUACAAUAGCAGGCUAUAAGCCAGUUGCAAAUAUAUUUUAAGGAGUUAAAUAAGGAGAGAGAAGAGCAGCGGGCUACAGAAUUGUAGCCACCUGUAGCACGGACUCCAAGACGCAGUAUGUGUAUGACAGGUGGGACCAGAUAUUAAUAGUGUAGUAUGUAACUAUUGUAUGAAUAAGCUAUUAGAUUGGCUAUAGAUGAACUGGAGCUAGUAGUUAGCUAUACUAUUGAACUUGCUCUUAUAAAGACAAUGGUAGUCGUUCAGUUAUUCGAAGUGUUGUCGUGGUAUCCUCGCUGAAUAUGACUUUUGUAUGGACCUUGUCAUGUAAGCCGUCAGACUUAGCAUCACUUUUGCACAUAUGGCUGUUAGGCGCUUGUAUGGACCUCCUUGUGUACGACUAAGAUUUGUUAUCUAGUCAUUUGGAACUGCUUCUACAUAUGCUACAUGGGUUGCUUUGUUCUGACUCACUUCGCAACUUUGCUUUGGUUGCCCACUGGUUAUGAACUCAGGGAUUUGAUUAUUUAUUGUUGUGUUCACUUCAACUCCAAAUGUGCCAGAAAGACACAAGUUUUAUCAUGUUAUGCAUAGCUAAGCGCCAAAUAUUAUGGCGUGGAAACUGCAACAUUCAGCGCCAUAGCAUUUGGCGUGGACAUCCAGCACUACACCAAGCCAUACCUACCUGGUCGACUAAGUUAACCAGUUCAGCGCCAAAUACCUCGGCGCUGACCUUAGCCACAACAGCGCCGAGUCGGAUGGUGCUGAGCUUUGACACACUGGCACCAUCCACGGUGUCACGACAUUCAGCGCCGUUACAUUUGGCGCUGAACCUCCGGGUUAUUUUUGAAAUAAGUUUUGGCCGCGAUUCAUUUACGAAAUAAGUUUUUGCAAAGGGUCAAAUUGUCAAAAAUUUUGCAUGGUGCAGAGGCGUAGUCCUCGCGCGCGUAGAGAGGCUGUAUUCACGUGGAUGGAUCAUGCGGUGGUUAAAUCAUGCGCGCGGAUGGACGGUAAUGAUUGGUCCAGAUGAUUUGGCCGGUAGGAUUGGAGAGGGAUAACUCCUCUUUUUUAUAUUAGUAUAGAUAUAGAUAUAGAUAUAGUUAUAGAUAUAGAUAUAGAUAUAGAUAUAGAUGUAUGGGACCAUAAUAUUUUUAUAAUCAGUGUUACACUAACAGCGGGUAUCUCGGCUCAUAGUACAAUUUCGUAUUUCAAUGCCUAGCUGUACCCCGGAAGACCUGGGGCGAUGAUUAAUUAAUUUGUAAGCAUAGUCAAACAAAACCGUGUCAGCACAUCACAGGUGGUAAUUGCAACUUAUAUGGUACAUAUUUUUACUAAGCAGCUAUACUAAAUUGGCCGGCCAUGAAAAAAAAAAACAAAUAGAAAUCAAGGUUUACUGCUCCAUGAUCCAGAACCUAUGAAUUUGUAUCCAGUUCUGUAGAUAUGAGAGUUCAAUAUUCUUGUCAGCUUGUCAUUAAUAUAAUUAGCAUCAAUCUACAUUAGCCACCAUCUUUGCAAAAAUCAUCUUUGCAGACAGCGUAUAUAAGGCCCCGCUUGCAAUAAUCGCAGGUGGUCGCCUUACGUGCGCCAACUGCAAAGAUACUUUUUUUUUUGCAGGUGGCUCCUUAUGUACUCCACCUGCCAAAAUAGUAGUACUCCCAUCGUUCCUAAAUAUUUGACGUCGUUAACUUUUUUAAACAUAUUUGACCGUUCGUCUUAUUCAAAACAUUUAAGUAAUUAUUAAUUAUUUUCCUAUGAUUUGAUUUAUUGUUAAAUAUACUUUUAUGUAUACAUAUAGUUUUACAUAUUUCACAAAAGUUUUUAAAUAAGACGAACGGUCAAACAUAUUUUAAAAAGUUGACGGCGUCAAAUAUUUAGGGAUGGAGUAUAUAGUUAUCUUCUUCCCCGAGCUCUAUUCAUUUCAUCCGAGAUUUCUUUCUCCUAUAACAACCAAAAUAUAGGGGGGAGAUUUUGAACUUCAAAUCUUCGGGGAUUUUUAUACAGUGGUUAGAUCUACACCUUUCUACUCUUGUUAUGCAUUUUUUUAAUAAUUUUAAACCUUUUCUUUAAUUAUGAUAGAUCUAUGCAUAAAAAUGCAGAAUCAGCACCCGUUCAUCCUCAAUCAGAACUCUAAUGAACCUUACCAAUGUUAUGCAGCGCAUUCUGGGUGGCACAGACUCCUAAUAGCUCUUGCAGCUUCAAGCAGCCGAACCAGCUAUCCCUUUUUUCUUACAAGGAUAUGCACAUCGAGCUCUUGUAUAAUACAUUAAAUAUUUAAAAAAUAUAAACUUUACAUAUAGCUUAAAACAAGUGAUCUAACAAAUGCAGUGGAGAAUAUAUAUUUCAAUCCGUGGAGUAAAUAAUCCAUUUCAACAAUCCCACCAUGAAUAAUAUGAAAACUAACAGGGUCUUAUAUCUUCUUCCUUGAAUUCCAAAUAACAUAGUACUGCUCUUUAUAGAGAGCCAACUAAACAACUCGAUUCUAAUUUCAUGGAAUGGAAACAACCAAAACAACUGGUAGAUAGAUAGAUAGAUAAGCCGAUAAUUUCACCCACUCUGUUGCAUCGCCUAUUGUUCGUGCGCUCCCUUGUUGGGCUUACGAUGAUAGAUUGCAGGUGAUACUGAACGACCAUAAUUACA